rnacentral:rRNA from 1 species
CCUUCUGGGUGGUUAGUGGCGAACGGGUGAGUAACACGUGGGCAAUCUGCCCUUCACUCUGGGACAAGCCCUGGAAACGGGGUCUAAUACCGGAUAACACUCGCCGAGGCAUCUCGGUGGGUUGAAAGCUCCGGCGGUGAAGGAUGAGCCCGCGGCCUAUCAGCUUGUUGGUGAGGUAGAAGCUCACCAAGGCGACGACGGGUAGCCGGCCUGAGAGGGCGACCGGCCACACUGGGACUGAGACACGGCCCAGACUCCUACGGGAGGCAGCAGUGGGGAAUAUUGCACAAUGGGCGAAAGCCUGAUGCAGCGACGCCGCGUGAGGGAUGACGGCCUUCGGGUUGUAAACCUCUUUCAGCAGGGAAGAAGCGAAAGUGACGGUACCUGCAGAAGAAGCGCCGGCUAACUACGUGCCAGCAGCCGCGGUAAUACGUAGGGCGCAAGCGUUGUCCGGAAUUAUUGGGCGUAAAGAGCUCGUAGGCGGUCUGUCACGUCGGAUGUGAAAGCCCGGGGCUUAACCCCGGGUCUGCAUUCGAUACGGGCAGACUAGAGUGUGGUAGGGGAGAUCGGAAUUCCUGGUGUAGCGGUGAAAUGCGCAGAUAUCAGGAGGAACACCGGUGGCGAAGGCGGAUCUCUGGGCCAUUACUGACGCUGAGGAGCGAAAGCGUGGGGAGCGAACAGGAUUAGAUACCCUGGUAGUCCACGCCGUAAACGGUGGGAACUAGGUGUUGGCGACAUUCCACGUCGUCGGUGCCGCAGCUAACGCAUUAAGUUCCCCGCCUGGGGAGUACGGCCGCAAGGCUAAAACUCAAAGGAAUUGACGGGGGCCCGCACAAGCAGCGGAGCAUGUGGCUUAAUUCGACGCAACGCGAAGAACCUUACCAAGGCUUGACAUCGCCCGGAAAGCAUCAGAGAUGGUGCCCCCCUUGUGGUCGGGUGACAGGUGGUGCAUGGCUGUCGUCAGCUCGUGUCGUGAGAUGUUGGGUUAAGUCCCGCAACGAGCGCAACCCUUGUUCUGUGUUGCCAGCAUGCCCUUCGGGGUGAUGGGGACUCACAGGAGACUGCCGGGGUCAACUCGGAGGAAGGUGGGGACGACGUCAAGUCAUCAUGCCCCUUAUGUCUUGGGCUGCACACGUGCUACAAUGGCAGGUACAAUGAGCUGCGAUGUCGCAAGGCGGAGCGAAUCUCAAAAAGCCUGUCUCAGUUCGGAUUGGGGUCUGCAACUCGACCCCAUGAAGUCGGAGUUGCUAGUAAUCGCAGAUCAGCAUUGCUGCGGUGAAUACGUUCCCGGGCCUUGUACACACCGCCCGUCACGUCACGAAAGUCGGUAACAUAGGAAGCGGCUGGCCCAAGCCCC